rnacentral:ncRNA from 2 species
CGCUUAUCAAGAAAGGUGGAGGGUUAUGGCCCGAUGAUACCUUAGCAACCUCUUCCGAAGCAAUUCGGAAAACUGGUGCUAAUUCCAUCCUGCAGCAAUGCAGGGCAGAUAAGUC